AUUGAGUCACCCUUGAGAUACUACCUCUGUUGUAUGAACGUUCUAACUCUGAUCAGUUAUCCUGAUCGAAGACAGUGUCUGGCAGGCAGUUUGACUGGGGCGGUCGCCUCCUAAAAGAUAACGGAGGCGCUCAAAGGUUUGCUCAGAAUGGUUGGAAAUCAUUCGUAGCGUGUAAAGGCAUAAGCAAGCUUGACUGUGAGACUGACAAGUCGAGCAGGUACGAAAGUAGGACUUAGUGAUCCGGUGGUUCCGUAUGGAAGGGCCAUCGCUCAACGGACAAAAGCUACCCCGGGGAUAACAGGCUCAUCUCCCCCAAGAGUCCACAUCGACGGGGAGGUUUGGCACCUCGAUGUCGGCUCAUCG
rnacentral:rRNA from 1 species